UGCGAGUCCAGAGGUGUAAGACCUCGGCAGACUGCUCAGUAACACGUGGAUAACCUGCCCAAGGGUCCGGGAUAACCCCGGGAAACUGGGGAUAAUACCGGAUGGGUCACCAGUGCUGGAAUGCUUGGUGGUCGAAAGGUGACGCCUUUGGAUGGGUCUGCGGCGGAUUAGGUUGACGCCGGUGUAACGUACCGGCGUGCCUGUAAUCCGUACGGGUUGUGGGAGCAAGAGCCCGGAGAUGGAUUCUGAGACACGAAUCCAGGCCUACGGGGCGCAGCAGGCGCGAAAACUCUACAAUGCAGGCAACUGCGAUAGGGGGACAUCGAGUGGCAUCCACCUUGGGUGUCUGUCCAACCGUGCUAAAAAACGG
rnacentral:rRNA from 1 species